GAUGAACGCUGGCGGCGUGCCUAACACAUGCAAGUCGAACGGAAAGACCGUGAGCUUGUGCUCUUACCGGUAGCGGGUGGCGGGCGGGUAACGAGUGGAUCACAAUCUUAUAUUUCGGGGAGGAUAACGGAAGACCGGUUACGAUAAUAGAGCAUAUAAUGUACCGGUGGGAGCAGGGGAUCAUCACGGCUUGCGUGAUUGAAUGAGCCGAUGUCGGAUUAGCUAGUUGGGUGGGUAAGGGCCCACCAAGGCGACGAUACGUAGCCGAUCUGAGAGGAUGAUCGGCCACACUGGAACUGAGACACGGUCCAGACUCCUACGGGAGGCAGCAGUGGGGAAUAUUGGACAAUGGGCGCAAGCCUGACCCAGCCAUACCGCGUGGGUGAUGAAGGCCUUCGGGUCGUAAAGCCCUUUUGUUGGGAAAGAACAGCUGCAGGAGAAUACCUGGCUGUCUUGACGGUACCCAAUCAAUAAGCACCGGCUAACUACGUG
rnacentral:rRNA from 1 species